UUGAGCGCCAGCGAGAGAGCGUUGCCGCAGGCAACGACCCGAAGGGCGAAGCGCGCAGCGCUGAGUAAUCCUUCUCCCACCACCA
rnacentral:sRNA from 1 species